rfam:Otolemur garnettii contig178691, whole genome shotgun sequence.
GUCUACAGCCACACCACCCUGAACGCGCCCGAUCUCAUCUGAUCUCGGAAGCUAAGCAGGGUUGGGCCUGGUUAGUACUUGGAUGGGAGAAAUGAUGCCUAUGCUGUUAAAU